GUGACUGUGUGAUUAUUUGGGGUGACUGUGUAUUAUUUGAGGUGACUGUGUGAUUAUUUGAGGUGACUGUGUGAUUAUUGGGGUGACUGUGUGAUUUGAGGUGACUGUGUGAUUAUUUGAAGUGACUGUGUGAUUAUUUGGGUGGUGACUGUGUGAUUUGUAGUGACUGUGUGAUUAUUUGAAGUGACUGUGUGAUUAUUUGAAGUGACUGUGUGAUUAUUUGAGGUGACUCUGUGAUUUGAAGUGACCGUGUGAUUAUUUGAAGUGACUGUGUGAGUGUGUGAUGAUUUGCGGCAUCUGUCUAUGAUAAACACACAGCUAGUUAUAACCUUUCUUGUUUCUUACAACCUUUCUUACUUGUUAGCAAGAUUCACUUGGUGCAAAACUAAAGAAGCAAACUUUGGACACCAAACUUGCCCUACAUUUCAGGAAUACCGUGUACAUUCCACUGUUCCUUC
ensembl:lncRNA